rnacentral:rRNA from 1 species
AUUGAACGCUGGCGGAAUGCUUUACACAUGCAAGUCGAACGGUAGAGGGGGCAACCCCUCGAGAGUGGCGAACGGGUGAGUAAUAUAUCGGAACGUGCCCAGUCGUGGGGGAUAACGUAGCGAAAGUUACGCUAAUACCGCAUACGAUCUAAGGAUGAAAGCGGGGGAUCGCAAAACCUCGCGCGAUUGGAGCGGCCGAUAUCAGAUUAGGUAGGUGGUGGGGUAAAGGCUCACCAAGCCAACGAUCUGUAGCUGGUCUGAGAGGACGACCAGCCACACUGGAACUGAGACACGGUCCAGACUCCUACGGGAGGCAGCAGUGGGGAAUUUUGGACAAUGGACGCAAGUCUGAUCCAGCCAUUCCGCGUGCAGGAUGAAGGCCCUCGGGUUGUAAACUGCUUUUGUACGGAACGAAAAGGUCUCUCUUAAUACGGGGGGCUCAUGACGGUACCGUAAGAAUAAGCACCGGCUAACUACGUGCCAGCCGCCGCGGUAA